CAACUCAAACCCCCUCAUUUUCUCUCUCUCUACCUCGCGACCCUUGACGCCGUCCCAUAGCUCUCUCACUCCCAGCGACUGCCGCCUCCCUUCGCUGCUAUUUCGCCUCCAUUCCCUCUCUAUUUCGCCUUCGUCGACCCCUUUCCAGAAACCACCUAAUACCAACACCAAAGCCCAGCCGUGCCAGAAAACCAAAAACCAGCACCAUCAAACCACCAGAUCUACAAAAAGAACCACCAAGAACACCCAAAUCCGUCAUGAGACCCAUCACGCACGGAGGAUAUCACCCAAAUCCGUGAAUAUGUCGGCGCUCUGAUUUUCGUAGCGACAUAUUCACGACCUCGAGAUCUGUCCAAAUCUACAACGAGAGCCACCAAGACACCCAAAUCCGUCAUGAGACCACCACGCACGGAAGAUAUUCACCCACAAGAGCCCUAGUUCCCCUCGAACACGCCCUCCCCAUGGCUGAUUCUUCCACCAUCGUCUGGCUUCAGAGCGCCAUCAAAUUUAACGGCGGAGUUUUCAUCUCUCUCUCUCUCUCUCCCCGCAUGCAUGUAGUGGAAUUCACUCAUGAGGCCUCUAAUUCAUUUGACUUAAGGACUCAAACAAAUAGAUCCUCUGCUCUUUGGAGUACAGGAUCUGUUCGUAGCGCCGUUUUAUAUUCUCUUCUAGGAUUUUCUAAUCCCUGCCUCGGCUGAAAGUAUAAAAAAUGCUUUAACUCUUGCCAAUUCUUUGUGGAAAAGGUCAUAUAAACCACUCGAUUUUCUGGGAAUCUGUCACCUAUUAAAGAACUAGGUGAUGAGCUGCCAAAGCCUUCCUUAGGCUCAGCCAUUGACACACAGUAUGGUUCUCUCGACGCAUUGAUUCAGAAAGUCAAUGCAGAAGGUGCUGCUUUGCAAGGCUUGGGUUAAAUCAACUAAUGGGGAACUAUAUAAUUAAUUGAAUUCUGGACAAUGGCUUGCUCUGGAUAAAGAGCGGAAGCAGCUAUCAGUUGAAACCCCUGCGGACCAGGAUCCACUUGUAACUAAAGGAUCCGCUUUGGUCCCGCUGAUUGGAAUAGAUGUUUGAGCGCAUGCAUACUACCUGCAGAUGUUUUCUUUCUUCCUGCUGCGUAGCAAUGAUGAUAAAUGCUUCUGCUCACCUGUCAGAAUGAGGAUUGCUUCUUUGAUACCGUUAUGUGUAAUCCAAUUAUCUGAAGAACAUAUGGAAGGUUAUUAACUUGAAAUAUGCUAGUGAAAUUUAUGAGAAAGAGUGUCCUUGAGACAACAAUAAGCUCUUAGUACUAUGGUUAGGCUUUUUACUGAAUGCCAGGUCUGUCCAGGUUUAGAUAGCCCUUAUCAAUGAUUAUUUGAUCUUACUGCAUGUUAAAAUGUCAAACUUCAAAUUCUUUUAGACAUUUUCACCUUUUGGAUCCUGAUCUGGCCAGCUUGAUUUGGAAGGUAGAAAAUUUUGUCUCUGUUUUGCCACUAUUUUGACCACUUUCUCUAAAAAUUCUUCCAAACUAUCUCAAAUUAUGAAGUGGAACAAUCUGAUGUGAAUAUGCUGAAAAGUUUGGUAUUUUAAAGCAAAUUUUACGACUAAUCAUGAUAUACUCAGUUCAUUCCCUGAUGUAGAGAUGGGGAAGAAGUACAUAUCAAAUGGUUCUUCAGAUUCAAGUAUCAUGCUAUCAUACUGAAGGGAUGCGUUAGGCCUGUAGGAGCACUAUAAUUUUGUGAUCCCAAUUUGAUCGAAUAUAUGUGUUUUGAAUUAUGAGUAUAAAAUUAGUUGAAGAGGUACUGUGUUGUUGGAUCAUAAUAAUCUUCCUGUCAUAAGAUGAUUGUUUUAAUUUAAAGUACAUAAAUUUUUAUUGAA